AAAGAAAUCUAAUUCCCUCCUUCCAAAAAGAAUUAAUCUCCUUCCUCCCACCUUCUUUUAACCUAAAACGGUUGUCCUCCCUCCUGUGACCCUUACACUCACAGUGACUCACCUAGAAAACAACUCACCCUCCCUUUAAAUCACCGUCACGAUUCUACCCUUGACCAUCACAUAUCUCCAAUAGGCCUGCGGGGUGUUGAUUCUGCCAUCCGAAACCCAUCUUGUAUUCUUAUAGCAGUUGUUUGUAGCCGUUCACACCAACAAUCGGCUCCCCCGGAUUACCUAGACUACAAUCACUGAUGUCACAUCCCAAUUGACCUCUUUUGUAGGUGUGUAAAUGAGAAAGGUUUGAAGAUGCAUACCAAUUGCUCGAUGAAACGCAUCAACCAAAAAAACUUCCGUUUCACAUGUUUUACUAGAUGAAUGAUUAUCUGGCAAUUAUUUUUGGAUGAAACUUGUGUUUUGCAGAUUCUUUUAUGCAACCUUAGAAGUAGAAGUUGAAUGAAACAAUGCGUUCACGGCAUAUGUCGCCAUGUCGGGGCAUUCACUGCUUCGGUAAAGAUUAGAAACUCUCUGGCAUACUUGCUCUUCCCUUCUUGGAGAGAAGGAACACCUACACCUAAAAAAGUGGAAUUCUUAUAUCUCAAGGUUUGAGUGAUUCACGUCAGUCGUAUACAACUACUAAAAGGCAUGGGCACCAGAGUGCAAACAACAGAAAGGCAGUUGGGAAUGUGGGUAUAUGGUAAUCAAACAUAUGAAAGAGUUUAUCGACUCUAUACAACAUGAUUUGGUUAACCGACUUUGGAAUGAAGAAGGGUAUUUUGAAGAAUCUCAAAUUGAGAAUUUAGUGGUAGAUUUAAUGUUCGGAUUUAUU